rnacentral:misc_RNA from 1 species
GAUGAAGAACGCAGCGAAAUGCGAUAAGUAAUGUGAAUUGCAGAAUUCAGUGAAUCAUCGAAUCUUUGAACGCACAUUGCGCCCCCUGGUAUUCCGGGGGGCAUGCCUGUCCGAGCGUCAUUACAACCCUCAAGCUCAGCUUGGUGUUGGGCCCCGCCGCCCCGGCGGGCCCUAAAGUCAGUGGCGGUGCCGUCCGGCUCCGAGCGUAGUAAUUCUUCUCGCUCUGGAGGUCCGGUCGUGUGCUCGCCAGCAUCCCCCAAUUUUUUUCAGGUUGACCUCGGAUCAGGUAGGGAUACCCGCUGAACUUAAGCAUAUCAAUAAGCGGAGGA